UAGUUUAUAUUUAUUUAUUCUUAUGCAUUGACUAGGAAUCGUUCUGUGUAUUUUUUUGCAUAUUGAUAUUUGAGUAUUUGUCGCUUGCCAUUUUUUCUUUUAAAAUGUGUCAUUUAUUAUUCUGCGACAAUUACAACUAGAUUUACUCAGGUAGCCACAGCUUAGAUAAACAUGAACGAUACUGGUGUUUUGCUUGUCCAUGCUAUACUAUGACUGUGGCUUUCUUCUAUUCUUUAUUUUUCAGUUUGAUACCAAUUAUCAGAAGCGAUAGUACUUGCUUAUUGCCAAAGUACUGCAUCCAGUUGCUUAUAUUUUUGCUUUUAAGUUAAUGAAAGGCAUGUGUUUGAGUAAUCCUUCUGUAAAAGGGAUAGUUCUUCAUGACUAGUUUAUGGGAUGAAUAUCUAUGACAUGAUUUGAUUGUAUUAUCACGGGCUAUAUAUUUGAUGUGUUGUUUCAUUGCAUGAUUCAUCACAUUUUUGGUUGAAUUUUCAGGUUACUAUCCCUGUUUCCUCACAUCGAUUUUCAUUUCUGUUGCCGCUUAGCUUAAUUGCACUGCUUUCUGCACUGAUCUAUGUGUUUUACUUUAUGUAUUAGCUUUUCUUUCUUUUUUUUUUCUUUGCAAUUUGCAUAUCAUACCUCCCCACCAUUGGUUUUGGUGUUGCCGGCAUGCUCACAUGUUGGACUGCAUAAAGAACUUAGAAGAACUGAAGAAGUAUGGGGUAUAUGUGAGUUUUUCACAAAAUAAGGGGGUGUUGAAUUAGUGAAUUACCAUUUAAGUUUUACCCACUUUAAUUUGAGAAUAGGUUUGUGACUGACCUUGUGACUGAGCUUCUUUUCAAGUAAUCAAUGAGAAUCUAUUCUCAUUAGUACUAGUUUGUCAUAUGCUAAAUGCUGAUGCACUGAUCACUUAUUCUAUGCAUAGAAUAGAUUAUCACUUGCUAACAAAUCUAUGGUCCCCCCUCCUUUUUUUUGGGUCUAAUAAUGCUUGUUGACUAUGAAUUGUGUUCAUUGCUUUAUGCCAUAUUUAUCACUUCACUUCUUUUUUUCUCUGAUUCUUUUUAAACCUUAGGUACUGAUUAGUUUAAUUAAUAUAUAAGGUUGUAAAUUGUAGUUAAUAAUCAUCAUAUCCAUUACUGUUAUAUUUAUGUCACUAUUAUGUGAGAAUUUGCAGCUUCUAAUGAUUUCUUGAAUUUGGUUGCUGUUGAUAGGGAAGAAAGUAAAUUAUUUCGAUUCAGAUAAAGACUCGAUCACCUAGUUGAUGGACCAGGUCGGUCAAGCAAGUUGACGGCCACAACCUACAAAGUUAGUUAGCUGCCAUUUCCGAAGCAAAAAAGAAAACACAAGUGGUGUGCGGUCCCUGAACAAGAUAGUGUUAUAGGAAUUGGCAUCACUGUAACUGUUGUGGGACUCAGUUGGUGGCUUUGUUGCACCAUUAGCCUAGAAGAAUUGAGUAUAUUUUGGCUUUUUUUUUUAUUUUUUGCAAAAUGUAUUAAAA